UACAGAGGUCCCAAGCGUUGUUCGGAUUCACUGGGCGUAAAGGGUGCGUAGGUGGUUGUGCAAGUCUGAUGUGAAAUCUCCGGGCUUAACCCGGAACUGCCGUUGAUACUAUUUGUCUUGAAUAUUGUGGAGGUAAGCGGAAUAUGUCAUGUAGCGGUGAAAUGCUUAGAUAUGACAUAGAACACCAAUUGCGAAGGCAGCUUACUACACAACGAUUGACGCUGAGGCACGAAAGCGUGGGGAUCAAACAGG
rnacentral:rRNA from 1 species